GCAAUGUGGUAUGAACUGUAUGGGGGGGUCAAUGUGGGCGGGCUGCCUUCUGAGAAUUCAUAGGCGAUCGAAUAAACCUCCACUUCCUUGCAUUCUGCUAGCAAACGUGCCAUCUUUGGACAACAAAAUAGAUGACCUAAGCAGAAGAUUAAACAACCAACGGGACAUUCAAAACUGUAAUAUCUUAUAUCUUGGCUGAACGACACUGUCAGGACAGAACAGAGGUUAUAUCAUAUAUAUCACUGUCAACAUACAGCUGGCUGGUUAUACACUGUACCGGCAGGAUAGAACAGAGGCAGGCUGGUUAUACGAUGCACCGGCAGGAUAGAACAGAGGCUGGUUAUACGAUGCACCGGCAGGAUAGAACAGAGGCUGGCUGGUUAUACGAUGCACCGGCAGGAUAGAACAGAGGCUGGCUGGUUAUACGAUGCACCGGCAGGAUAGAACAGAG
ensembl:lncRNA